rnacentral:rRNA from 1 species
GACGAACGCUGGCGGCGUGCCUAAUACAUGCAAGUCGAACGCAUUUUCUUUCACCGUAGCUUGCUACACCGAAAGAAACUGAGUGGCGAACGGGUGAGUAACACGUGGGUAACCUGCCCAUCAGCGGGGGAUAACACUUGGAAACAGGUGCUAAUACCGCAUAAUUCCAUUUACUGCAUGGUAGAUGGAUGAAAGGCGCUUUUGCGUCACUGAUGGAUGGACCCGCGGUGCAUUAGCUAGUUGGUGGGGUAACGGCCUACCAAGGCUGCGAUGCAUAGCCGACCUGAGAGGGUGAUCGGCCACACUGGGACUGAGACACGGCCCAGACUCCUACGGGAGGCAGCAGUAGGGAAUCUUCGGCAAUGGACGCAAGUCUGACCGAGCAACGCCGCGUGAGUGAAGAAGGUUUUCGGAUCGUAAAACUCUGUUGUUAGAAAAGAACAAGGAUGAGAGUGGAAAGUUCAUCCCUUGACGGUAUCUAACCAGAAAGCCACGGCUAACUACGUG